UUAAGUUCGGCGGGUAGUCCUACCUGAUUUGAGGUCAAAGGGGUUAGCGCGCCCGCGUUCGCCACGAGGGCUAGUAGCUGAGCUGGCCGAGGUUGGAAGCAGAUCUGGCGUCUCCGGACGCUCCAGCCCGACGACGAUCGUUAUCACGUCGAACUAGGCCGUGCACGUCCGGACAUGCUAGUCCCGCUCAUGCGUUUGAG
rnacentral:misc_RNA from 1 species